rfam:Myotis brandtii contig158938, whole genome shotgun sequence.
GGUGGUUCUCAGAUGACACACCCCAGAACCAGGCUCCCUCCUCUCUGGUUCUGGGGUACGUCACCCAAGAAGCACC